UACGUAGGGGGCAAGCGUUAUCCGGAUUUAUUGGGUUUAAAGGGUGCGUAGGCGGUCGGAUAAGUUAGAGGUGAAAUCCCGAGGCUCAACUUCGGAAUUGCCUCUGAUACUGUUCGGCUAGAGAGUAGUUGCGGUAGGCGGAAUGUAUGGUGUAGCGGUGAAAUGCUUAGAGAUCAUACAGAACACCGAUUGCGAAGGCAGCUCACUAGACUGCAACUGACGUUGAGGCUCGAAAGCGUGGGGAGCAAACAGG
rnacentral:rRNA from 1 species